AAGGGAGUUCACAGCUGUCCCUAAGGCAACUUACCCUAUUCCAGAUUGAGCUUGUGGAAUCCCCAGAUGUAGCCACUUCUCUUCCUACCACAGUCAGUAGGAGGCAGCUGGUGUUGGUAUGGGAAAGCAGGAAGGUCAGAUCCCCAGGACAAGGAGAGCCUCGGCAGGCACAAGGGGAUUAUCUGACCAGUUGCCCACCCAAGAUGGACUGGCCAUGAGCAGGACUUAAGGUUCCAUAUAGGGUGCCAUAUUUGUUAUGCCCAAAGAGGGGGGUCAUCUGCCAGCCGCAAGAUGUGCCAAUAAUCAAGAGGCAAGGUGUUGGCUUCCCUUAUGUCAACCUUGAGUGGUGCAAGUAACAUGGGGACAUCGGAGCAUCCAGUCAGGCAGACGCCCUUCUGAGCGACGGAGCAGGUGGCACAUCCGAGAAAUAGCCCUGGAUGCUGUGUCUCAUUUGGCCCUUGAAGCCUGUAGGAAAAGAAGGUUCCCUCAGUUCUCCUCACUCACCCUCAGGGGCCGCACGACCCCUCACCCCUGACCUCUCCUCCCAGAGACUUCUCUCAAGUUUUCUCCAUGUCCCACCCCUCAUGACUGAAGGCCCAAGUCCCUGGACACUGCCUGGAAGCCAUGCUGUUGUUGCUGGCCCUCCCACUCCUCUCAGGGGCUGCCUGCGGCACCCAUGGUAAGACUCAGCCCGUCCCAGCCCUUCCAGGGCCCAGCCCAGCACGCAGCCCUGGCCUCCACACCUGCCCGCUGCAGCGCUGGACCAGACGUUUGAAGCGGCGGGCUCGGGCCCAGGAGCUGUGCUGCUGCCUCCCCUCCUGCUCCCUCUCUCCUGAUACACACCAUCCUCCAGAGACGCAGGGCCCAGGCGGCUCCUACUCCUACAUCAGGGGAGGAGCGGGGGAGACCCAGGCCAUCGGGUCUUCGUGGGGAUAAUGGGCCUCAUCAAGGGCAGGUCACUGUCCAGAACACCCUCGCCGCGGCCUCUGCCCCAGCCACCUCACAGCGGUCCACCCUGGCCACUAGGACACACAGGAUAGUGUCAGAAGCAGCCAGGGAACCCAGAGUCUGACCACAGCAGGGCCAGACUCUUUGGGGACUGAGGGAGAGG
rnacentral:lncRNA from 1 species